GACGAACGCUAGCGGCGUGCUUAACACAUGCAAGUCGAGCGGUAAGGCCCUUCGGGGUACACGAGCGGCGAACGGGUGAGUAACACGUGGGUGAUCUGCCUUGCACUUCGGGAUAAGCCUGGGAAACCGGGUCUAAUACCGGAUACGACCUGAGGUUGCAUGACUUCAGGUGGAAAGAUUUAUCGGUGCGAGAUGGGCCCGCGGCCUAUCAGCUUGUUGGUGAGGUAACGGCUCACCAAGGCGACGACGGGUAGCCGACCUGAGAGGGUGACCGGCCACACUGGGACUGAGAUACGGCCCAGACUCCUACGGGAGGUAGCAGUGGGGAACAUUGCACAAUGGGCGAAAGCCUGAUGCAGCGACGCCGCGUGCGGGAUGACGGCCUUCGGGUUGUAAACCGCUUUUGACAGGGACGAAGCGCAAGUGACUGUACCUGUAGAAUAAGGACCGGCCAACUACGUG
rnacentral:rRNA from 1 species